GUUCGGGUUCCCUCCCACCUUGUGGAAGAUUUGUUCUUUCGCCCUUUGCGAUAAAUCUUGCUGUUGCUCACAUUUUAGGUCCACGCUACCUUUAUGAGCUGUAACACUCAUGGUGAAGGUUUGCAGCUUCCCUCCUGAAGCCAGCCAGACCAGGAACCCACCACAAGAAACGAACAACUCUGGAGCCGCCAUAAGACUCCCUGUGGCUUUAAGAGCUGUAAGACUCACUGUGAAGGUCUGCGGCUUCACGCCUGAAGUCAGCCAGACCACGAACCCACCGGGAGGAACAAACAGCUCCGGACGCACCAUCUUUAAGAGCUGUAACGCUCACUGCAAAGGUCUGCGGCUUCACUCAUGAAGUCGUGCAUAGACCACGAACCCAGUAGAAGGAAGAAACUCCCGACACAUCUGAACAUCUGAAGGAACAAACUCUGGACACACCAUCUUUAAGAAGUGUAACACUGCGAGGGUCCGCGGCUUCAUUCUUGAAGUUAGCGGGACCAGGAACCCAUCGGAGGGAACCAAUUCCGGACACACAGCCUCGUGGAAUGGUUCUGCACAGUGUGUGUGUGUUUCCCGUCAACCCUGUGCACACUAUUAAAAGAACACAAGCGCUAAGGCUCCCUCUCAGACCUACUGAUGCAAGACAUUGUGAUUUUGACUUUGUUGGAUGCUGCACCUAAAGGUGGAUGGAAGAGGAAGAGUCUUGGGGGCUACCAUCCUGGCUGGAGAAGCUGGCACGAGGCUCCCUCUUGUGGAUGCAGCAAGUCUAAGGGCCAAGGGAAGAGAAGAGUGACAUAGAAUCUCCUUUCCUUGAGAUCUUAGAAUCACGCCUGCCUCCUUACCUCCAU